rnacentral:rRNA from 1 species
UACAGAGGUCCCGAGCGUUGUUCGGAUUUACUGGGCGUACAGGGUGCGUAGGCGGUUGGAUAAGCCCUCCGUGAAAUCUCCAGGCUUAACCUGGAAAGUGCAGAGGGGACUGUUCAGCUAGAGGAUGGGAGAGGAGCGCGGAAUUCCCGGUGUAGCGGUGAAAUGCGUAGAGAUCGGGAGGAAGGCCGGUGGCGAAGGCGGCGCUCUGGAACAUUUCUGACGCUGAGGCUCGAAAGCGUGGGGAGCAAACAGG